rnacentral:rRNA from 1 species
CCCAUAAGGGGGACCCGACUGCAAUCGGACNGAGAUUGAGCCAUUUGAGUCGAACGACCCCCUGUUGCGGGGGGCGUGGCGUACCGCUCAGCAACCCGUACUCAACCUGCCCUGGACACAUGGACAACCCCGGGAAACUGCGAUUAAUCCGUGAUAGGGUGAGCGGAUCAGGCACGAGAGAUGGCUUAGCGGGGCACAGGGGCUUCUUCCGUGAAUUCGCUCCAUGAUGGGACUGCGUCCCAUCACGCUGUUGGGGGGGUAAUGGCCCACCAAACCUGUAAACAGGGCGAGUUUUGACAGAACCAACCCGGAGAUGGACACUGAUAGAAGGGUCCAGGUCCUAUGGUGCGCACCACGACGCAAAACCUUCGCAAUGCUCGCAGGCGCGACCAGGUUAAUCCGAGUGAUUUCCGUUGAGGAGAUCUUUUGUCAGCAGUAAAAAGACAGGCGAAUAAGGGGAGGGCAAGUCUGGUGUCAGCCGCCGCGGUAAUACCAGCUCCUCGAGUGGUCGGGGACGAUUAUUGGGCCUAAAGCAUCCGUAAAAAGAUCCGUAGGUCUUCUGUUAAAUCCAACCGCUUAACGGUUGGCCUGCAGAGGAUACCACAUGACUAGGAGGCGGGAGAGGCGAACGCUACUCCGCGGGUAGGGGUAAAAUCCUAUGAUCCACAGAAGACCACCAGUGGCGAAGGCGGUCCACCAGAACGCGCUCGACGGUGAGGGAUGAAACCCGCGGGAGCGAACCGGAUUAGAUACCCGGGUAGUCCCAGCCGUAAACGAUGCAAGCUAGAUGAUCCAAUCGCAAAUCGCCAUUGCAGUGUCGCAGGGAAGCCGUUAAGCCCUCCAACUGCCCCGUUCGGUCGC